rnacentral:rRNA from 1 species
GACGAACGCUGGCGGCGUGCUUAACACAUGCAAGUCGAACGGAAAGGCCCUGCUUUUGUGGGGUGCUCGAGUGGCGAACGGGUGGGUAACACGUGAGUAACCUGCCCUUGACUUUGGGAUAACUUCAGGAAACUGGGGCUAAUACCGGAUAGGAGCUCCUGCUGCAUGGUGGGGGUUGGAAAGUUUCGGCGGUUGGGGAUGGACUCGCGGCUUAUCAGCUUGUUGGUGGGGUAGUGGCUUACCAAGGCUUUGACGGGUAGCCGGCCUGAGAGGGUGACCGGCCACAUUGGGACUGAGAUACGGCCCAGACUCCUACGGGAGGCAGCAGUGGGGAAUAUUGCACAAUGGGCGGAAGCCUGAUGCAGCAACGCCGCGUGCGGGAUGACGGCCUUCGGGUUGUAAACCGCUUUCGCCUGUGACGAAGCGUGAGUGACGGUAAUGGGCAAAGAAGCACCGGCUAACUACGUG